AUAUCUCCCAGAGUAGGGACCCAUCAGCAGUGGAAUUAACAGCCGGGGAAAAGCGAUUUUUCGGCUGACAUAAAGUUCAACAAAGGAUUAGCCAACAGCCUGGAAUGAUACACCGAAAGUAAGGGACGCAAAGGAUAUUAACUGCCAAUAGAUGAGUAGUUUAGUGGGUGAGAAAGGCGGAAGAAUUUUACUUUCACGUGUUGGUGAAAGAAGCGUAGCACAAAUCGCCUGAGAAGCUGUUAAAUGGGUCGAGAAAAUCGUCGGUGAAUAGUGUGCCGUUAGGAGUGAGUGAGCUGUUGACGGUAAUAGUCCUCCCUCGAGGUGAUUGAUUUGAGUUUGUGUUCUGAGUUAUGGACCAGAAGGUUACCGGCUCGAACGGGGGAUCGUAGAAACUGUAAAGUAAAAUGGAUAACGGAAGCGGUCGGAAUUGAGUUUGGCAAGUGGGAGCUCAUCAAAAGCCUUCCAUCGAUUGGACGAAGCUCGAUCAGCACUUUUACACCUAUCCAAUUUUCUGGCGGAACAUAAAAAUUAAGUUCGCCUUGGUGGCGUCGGUGCAGCAGCUGUGCAGAAGUGCAUCUGCGAGUGUUGGAAAACCGAAGAAAGGAAAAAGAAGAAAUUCCAAGGAAAAGGUGUGGAAAUCCAAUUGAAUUAGAGUGUGCAAUCCGAAGGUUGGGGCUGAUGCUGCGGUGUGCUCCGUGUGGCCAGAGUAAAAUAUGGUUGCACCGAUAGUCCCCGAUUAUGGGGUGUGAAGUGUAAGUGGAGCUCAAUUCGAGGGCCAGAAUUUGUGAUGUGAAUAAAGAGAAAACGUGCUCUAGUGAAAAUAUUUGAUUUAUCCGACAGGCGGGGAAAUUUGCACAAAUAUUCGAUCCAUUGUGUCCGGUGGUGGCGAUAGUCCUGAAUCUGGAUCGUCCUUCUAGUUUUGUGACGGGGUGGAGCUUAAGAAGAUUUGUGUGUGUUUUUUAUAUCCUAUGAGGUGGAGCCCUUCGGGCGAAAAAAGGGCCGUUGAGCAUACAUUAAGGGAAUCCGGAAGAUAAAUUCGAUUCUGCAGCUGGUGCCUGCCGAAUAGAGUGCUCGAUACCAAAACGGAAAACAUCUGGAAGAAUGCUGCAGGUAACGGCGGAUCGGAUGUCCGGACGGCGGAGCAGCUCCAUAGGAUGCCGCUCGAUUGUCGGCCGGCGGACUUCGAUGUACAUCAACCAGACUCAGCACGACCGGGAUCCG